rnacentral:rRNA from 1 species
AGUCAUAUGCUUGUCUCAAAGGUUAAGCCAUGCAUGUCUUAGUAUAAAUCCUCAGAGGUGAAACUGCGAACGGCUCAUUAAAACAGUCAUAUUUCAUUUGAUGGUGAAUGUGUAUAUGGAUAACUGUGGUAAUUCUACAGCUAAUACAUGUAUCCGUGACCGACUUUCAGGAAGGGCUGCUCUUACCAGUCACUAAGCCAACCCAGACUUCGUCUGGACUGUGGGUGAGUCUCGGUAAUAAUUCAAAUCUCAUAGCAUCCGCUAGUGGUGCGUCAUACAAGUGUCUGACCUAUCAGCUGUCGACGGUAGGGUAUUGGCCUACCGUGGCUAUGACGGGUAACAGAGAAUUAGGGUUUGAUUCUGGAGAGGGAGCCUGAUAAACGGCUACCACAUCUAAGGAAGGCAGCAGGCGCGAAAAUUACCCAAUCCUGACAUAGGGAGGUAGUAACAAGAAAUAACAAUACAGGGCAAUCAUGUCUUGUAGUUGGAAUGAGUAGAUUACAAAUCGCUGUAUGAGAAUCAAU